UGUGGAUAUAGUUACCAUAUAAUUUAUCCCUUUGACACUUGAUGCUCAAGACAACUAAGGGUUAAACUGUCAACCAAGAAAGAGUGGUCCAUAUUGUGUCUCAACCUUAAAAAUUCUGUUACUCCUCACUAAGACUAUUUUGGUCAAAGUUUUGCUGAAUUGAAACACAGUGAUGUAUCAUCUUCAAUUUUACUUGGAG
rnacentral:lncRNA from 1 species